GAUGAACGCUGGCGGCGUGCCUAAUACAUGCAAGUCGAACGAGGUGCUUGAGUAGCAAUACAAGAGUAUCCUAGUGGCGAACGGGUGAGUAACGCGUUGGUGACCUACCCCAAAGUGUGGGAUAACAGUCCGAAAGGAUUGCUAAUACCGCAUGUGGUCCUCGGGUUUAGAAACUGAUGACUAAAGGAGCGAUUCGCUUUGGGAGGACCUGCGUCCCAUCAGCUAGNGGUGAGGUAACGGCUCACCAAGGCUACGACGGGUA
rnacentral:rRNA from 1 species